CUGAGACGUUGGCAACAGCUCUGGCCAGUAAUAUGUCAGAAUGAAUUUGCCGGCAAUGCUUUACUAAGAACUUGUCAACCCUCAUCACUGUGUUUUCCAUUGAAGCCUUUAUGUCGCCAAUACAUGCCUCAGCUCUAGCUGAGAUUGCUACAUCAUGGGGAUUAUUGAAAAACUGUUGCAUUACAUUUGUCCAGCAAACAAAAUCUUUGGCUAAAUCUAUCAAUCUAUUAGCAAAAUCAGAUAGAGCUUGUGCAAUUGGUACUAUUUGAUCUCCUAUAUGAGUGCACAUUAUGGAUAAAAAAAUGUCACUGGAAUCUCCGUCAGGUCUAUUGAUUUUCAAUGCUAUCGAUGAUGUUGCAUCAAGGGCCACUGCAUUUCCCAACUCGUUCGCGAUAUCAUUGUAAACACUUAUUUGGGAAGGUGACCAAUAUGGAGUUAAAUAAAGGUACAAAAACAAACAAAGCCGACAAAAUUGAUGAACUGUUGAAGAAUGACCGGAAAUGAGCA